ACUGGACUUGGAGGCAGAA
rnacentral:miRNA from 1 species